rnacentral:rRNA from 1 species
CAGCCGCCGCGGUAAUACGUAGGGUGCAAGCGUUAAUCGGAAUUACUGGGCGUAAAGCGUGCGCAGGCGGUUCUAUAAGACAGAUGUGAAAUCCCCGGGCUCAACCUGGGAACUGCAUUUGUGACUGUAGGGCUGGAGUGCGGCAGAGGGGGAUGGAAUUCCGCGUGUAGCAGUGAAAUGCGUAGAUAUGCGGAGGAACACCGAUGGCGAAGGCAAUCCCCUGGGCCUGCACUGACGCUCAUGCACGAAAGCGCGGGGAGCAAACAGGAUUAGAUACCCGCGUAGUCCCUGUCUCUUAUAC